CCCAACUAUCCCUAUUAAUCAUUACAGUGAUCCUAGAAACUAACAAAAUAGAACCAACCCGUCCUAUUCUAUUAUUCCAUGCUAAUGUAUUCAGAUAUUAGCCUACUUUAAACACUCUAAUUUUUUCAAAGUAACAGUUCUGAUUCCCCAUCACACCAAGUGAAUGGUAUAAUGAUUCCUCAGAAGGUAGAAAUUCAUCACAUCAGUACAGACAGUUAAGCCUGACCAAUAGAUAAAUCCCGAAGUUCAACUACGAACUUUUUAACUGCAACAACUUUAAUAUAUGCUAUUGGAGCUGGAAUUACCGCGAUUGCUGGCACCAGACUUGCCCUCCAA
rnacentral:misc_RNA from 1 species